rnacentral:rRNA from 1 species
AUACGGAGGGUGCAAGCGUUACUCGGAAUCACUGGGCGUAAAGCGCGCGCAGGCGGCUAUUUAAGUUGGAUGUGAAAGCCUGCGGCUCAACCGUAGAACUGCAUCCAAAACUAUUUAGCUAGAGUGUGGGAGAGGAAGAUGGAAUUAGUUGUGUAGGGGUAAAAUCCGUAGAGAUAACUAGGAAUACCAAAAGCGAAGGCAAUCUUCUGGAACACUACUGACGCUGAGGCGCGAAAGCGUGGGGAGCAAACGGGAUUAGAAACCCCUGUAGUCC